rnacentral:lncRNA from 1 species
CGAGGUGGCAGGGCUCUGGGCUGGGGCUAUAUUAAUAGUUGCUGAGCCCCUAGAGUCCAUGUGAAUCACAGGAGGGCGGCACAGUGUGCACUGGGAGGGAAGGCCAUGGAGUUCCUGCUGAACCACUCAACAGCUUAAAAUACAACCAGCCCCUCUCCCUACUGGGCCAGCUGCCGGGGAGGGCUGAAAUCCUAGCCUCUCCCCCAGCUGGGGCACUGCAGCCAGGCCAGGAGCCGUGGUGCACCAACUGGUGGGCAGCAGGAGAGCGCGUGGAGAGGGGCCACGGUGAAGAGCAAUCCCAAGCCACAAGCUGAGGGACUGCCUGCAGCAGAGGUCCUCCCACCUGCUGCCCUUUUGCAAUUAAGGUCUAAUUCGGGCCUCUCUCCAUUUCUGGACAGGAAGACUCGGGCAAGCCAGGAAGCUUAAGGAAGCCAGAGACCCUGAGGAUGAACUGACUAGAGGUGUUCGACGGCCACUGUCCGUUAUGCCCGCCCCUGGCUCCACCCAAGCCGGCAGGCAGGUGAGUCCACGCAUGCGCCGCAUGCGCUCAGCUUGCCAGAAUAAUCCCCUUUGACUGUGAAAAACCAACGCACAUUCCAGACACUGGAAAUCUGGAGAGCCGGCCACAUUAGGACAAACAUCUUUGCCAGGAACUCGCUGAGCAUAUAUAAGGUCUAGUUUUAACCCCCAGCGUAAAGGAAAGACAGCAAGGGAAUGAAUAUGUAAAGCAAAUAGGUCUACAUGAGGUGACAUCACAUCACAAAACAUCACACGGGACAGACACAGGUGUGGUGGAGGCAGGACGUACAUGAAGUUUUCUAUACAAAGUGGUCAAGAAAAACCUCCCUAGUCAUACUUCAGAAGGCACAGGCAGGUGGAUCUGAGUGUGAGGCUAGCCUGGCCUACGUGAGUGUCGGGCUGGCCAGGCUAGAGUACUUAGUGAAAUCCUGUCAGGAGAGGGAGGGUGAGGAUGCAGCUCCCUGAUGGGGCUCUCGGUCAAGCCCUGAAAGAAUCAAGGCUGAAGGUGGCCAUCCUCACAGAAGAGCAGCUGUGCCAAGGGCCUCAAGUUAAGCGGAACAGAUGCUCACAGAUGUGUGGUCUGGAGUCAUAUGCAUGAGAGGAAGAAGAUGAGGUGGAAAUGCAGAGGUGACAUGGCAGACGGUCCUAAGGGCUGGGUGAGGAGAGGCCUGACUUGAGUUUAAAUCUGCUUGCUUUGCUGUGACUGCUGACAUGGCGUUUCACUGUGUAGUCAGUCCUCUCUGACCUGGAACUCAUUCCAUGCCUGUAGUGGUCUGCAGCCUCCUGGGUGCUCGGAUUAAAGGCGAGCACCACCAACCCCAGCUGUGGCUUGAAUUCUUAAGGGAUCCUUUUGAGAGAAUUAGUAGUCUGGAAGCAGAGGCCUGCCAGAGGCUGUGAAAAUAAUUCCCUCCAAACAGCAGCAGCGCUAGACACGGGAGCACACAGGAGGGUACUGGCAGUACACCGGAAAGGUCAGACUGAGACCCUCCAUCCAUCCAUCCCAUUAAACACCUACCUGGAAGCUAGACACCCCAGCACUGAGAGGUUGAAACAAGAGGAUCUCAAGUUCAGGCCAGCCUGGGCUACAUGGCAAAAACUUUAUCUCAAAAAUAAAGAUACACCUGGAUCUGGAUGGGGCUCAGAAUGCGGUCCU